UAUACAUUCCUGAAUAGUACGAUCGCAGCCAUUAUCAAAAAUGAUUUCUAGACAAAUCAAAGCAUGCAGGGCCAAAGAGCCCGAAGUUGCAGAAUCACCUGCCAAAAAUGUUUAAAAGUUGCCAAGACCUGCACGCGUGCAUCGCUAUCUCCUCACUCACGUGACCAAAUAGUGGACUCUUGCAGCGUUCAAAUGCUUGUCAGAACUAGGAGACUGCCGACCUGCUACUUGGUCGACAUAAACUGCAUGCGUAGGCUCGCCCCACCACUCGCUCUCUUAGCAACAGCCUGCCUCAGUGCGUGAUAGUCCGCAGCAGACAGUCACGGUUAUGUAUCAGGCCGAAUGGAAGACCAUCAAUCAGGUGAUCUGCCAAGGAAGGGGAGGACCAUAGCCCAGCGGUCAAACCCCAGAUCCAUGUCUGUCCUCCCUCAGCCAGGCAACUCCCACCAGCACAGCACAUGGCUCCAUACCCAAAGCAGGACACCCCACCAUCCUAAGACCAGAGCUUGUCCCAGGAGACCCCAAACAGCUAUGGCUCCAUCCUCCCAGCAGCCUCCACUCAACACCAGGCAGGUCCGACCUCUAAAAACGGCUCCAACAACCAGGCAGGUCCGGCAGCCAAUGACGGCUCCAAAAACCAGGCAGGUCUGGCAACCAAAGAUGGCUCCAACAACCAAAAACAUAUCUAAAACCCAGAACCAGAGGGCUUCCAGUGCACAUAAGGUUAAAUGCCUUAAAUCCUCCUGUGCCCAGCAGAAGCAGCCCAGAGUACCCAAGCCUGGGGGCUCUGUCCAACCCGUGACCAUUAAUGUCAAGCCCCAACUGAGAUCCCAGCCCCAGAGACCAUAUACAUGGUCCCAGCACAGACACCAGCCACAGGCCCAGUGUCCACAGCCCUAUUCCAUUAACUCGAUCCUCCACCAAGACUCCCAACUGCCCUUCAACCAAACCUAAGCCUUCCAUUCCACCUAAAUCUAAUUCGCCCAAAACUGCCAACCUAAAUUCCGGCACAACACCUGGUACAUGCCCCCAUGAUACCACCCCCAGACCCCCUGCUGGGUUACUGCCCCAAGAGGGAGAGGUGCCACCUGUACCACAUGAGGUACCCCUUCCACUGGCAGGUGAAGAGGACUGACAUCCCGGAAUGGGUCAGCCUGGAACCCAGCUCCCAGCUGAAAGAAGAACGUUGGUUCUGUGACCCUGAUAAGGAAAGGGUCUACCUAACACAUGGGUGAGUGAGUGGCACGACGUAGAUGUUGCCCCCCACCACAGAUCUUCAGAUGACCCUGGCCUAUAUCCCGAUAUCUAACCAUGAGAAAAUGUCUGACCCUGUAUCAAUGGUAAGGGGCAACUUCUGCCUUAUCAGAGUGGGUAUAGUUAAGACUUGGGUUACUUACUUGAGGUUGGAGCUUGCAGCUUUAGGAUUAUUCCAUUGGUUCCUUUUAAAAUGGGUAGCUGAAGUAUUUGACCCAGGUCUGAUGGGUAAUGGUAAUAUGUGAAGUAAUGUAAGUUUUUCCUCUCUUAAUAAUCAUUCACAUUUGAAAGAAAAUAACUACUCCCUCAUACAGCUCUUCUAGGACUCUCAAGGACCAACUCUGCCUGAACUUUGUCUCACUGAUGGUGGAGAAUUCCACUGUGUACAGCCAAGUCAGGAGGCUGUCCAACACCACUGGCCCAGAGCUGAACCCUCACUUCCCAACACAGUGGCACUUCUGGGAAUCUGACUAUGGCUGGGAAGCCUAUGGAGAAGUAUCCCACCCACCAAACUGUGGGGAUUUUACUUCAUGUUUGGUGUGAGGAAGUGAAAGCCUACUGGCCAUCUCACAUUUGACAAAGCAAUUUAUUUGUUUAGAGAAGUUGUUCUUAGCCCUCAGUCUGUAGAUGGCUUUCCUUUCCUUGAUGACCUCUGAUGGAUGAAAUGGAUUGCUAGAACAUGUCCUGACCUUUGAAGUGACCUAUGACUCAUUUGGAGUAGAUUGACUCUAAUAACAGAUACUGGAUCAGCUAUUUAAGCAAAUGUCUACUGAUUAAAUUCAGGGCUAGGGAAAUCUGUUUCUAGAUCUGUGGUUUGGGGCUGACUUCAUCCUCCUCCCCUGUACCACCUAGGAGAACCUUGAGCUCAUGCUGGACUGUCUUAGUAAGGGUCAGGACAGCUGCAGGCUGGGUAAAGACUGGGCCUGUGUAAAUCUCAAGAUGCUUACAGAGAGAAACUUCAUCAGACUCCACCCACCGCAUCAGAUGCAGACCCACCUUCCGCUCGCCAGACUCCCUAAGACAACACCUCAGGACACUCCCAGUUGGACAGGUAACCCUCCCCAGUCUUGAGGUGGACCCUAUGGAGAAUUUCAGCUACCGUACCCACCGAUGUGGACCCUGAGUCAAGGGAACCCCUUUUCCAUGCUGGAGGUUCCUCCUGGGAUGCUGGUGUACAGCACGGUUCACAACCUGUUCCACAGAACCAUGCCCAGGAUCACCAGCAGGUCCAGAACACCUUCCAUUGGGACAAGUAUAGAAUGUAAGACUUUCCUCGUAACAUUCAGCACUUCAAAUACAUCAAAUUGAUUCCAAUGGAGGGUUGUGUCUCGCAUGUUCCAUGGAACAGGUGCCUCUCCAGGACCACGCUACAAUUGUCCUGUGUGUCCUUCCAGGCAGAAGAAGCACAUGGAGGACACGCAGGACAAUUGUAGUGUGGUCCUGGAGAGACACCUGUUCUAUGGAACAUGCGAGAGCGCCGCCAUGGACAUCUGCCAACAGAACUUCGACCCUCGCGUGGCGAGAACCACUAGUUAUUAUGGCCGUGGCGUUUACUUCACCUGUGAAGCUUUUCGGUUCCGCCUCUACUCCAUCAGAGGGCCGGGGGGAGACUUUACAGACUGUGGGUUCAUGUUCCUGGCUAAGGUGCUUGUGGGUAAAGCCUGUGUAGGAAAGAUUGACUAUGUCCGUCCCCCUCGACUCCCCAACACCACUAAGUCAGGACGUCAUCACUACGAUUCCAGUGCGGAUCAGAAGCAUCCUACCAUAUUUGUUGUUUGACAGCAGCCAGUGCUACCCCUACUACCUCAAGUACAAAGUCCUGGCAAACAAUCAGUGCUGUGUGAAGGGCAUAGAAAACAGAACCAGGACUGGUUUAGGAGGGCACAUUAUUUUGGAUGGAGUAUUGUUGGCUUUACACUUUUAUUUACAUUUUCACUCAAUUGGACAGCCAGUUAUUUGCGACACUGAAAUGUACUAUAACAAUGUUCAAUUUUUUGUGAUACAAUUAAUUAGGUCGAGUUCAAUACUCUUGUGGAUUGAUUGGUUUCUUUUGUUGCCUUUUUAAGUCACUCAACAUUGAGUCUAUUUGUAGAACUAUAAUGAAAACAAAAUGUUAGACAUGUUCUUUCUUUUGGUAAAGGGCCCUCUGUGGAAGAAAUGGACAAGUCACUGUUCCUAACAGCUCAUUUUCUUCCAUCAACUCUUAAGUUGUCUGUGUUCAAUGAGAAGUAAAAUAAACUUUCACUGAAAAUCCAUUCGAUGCAAUGCAUCACUGCUGAUCAUAGUCAAUAAACCAAUGUAAAUGGAUAGUUUUGUAGAAAUUAAAUAUUCUGAAACAGUGGUAGCCAAUGUGUAUAAAUUGUCGUUCUGAUUGCCGCUUCUGUGCCCUCUUGUGGAGAAAUAUCGUGGUCAUGGGUGAUUGAGUUUAAUUUAUCUAGUUGACAUAUCUUUUGUGAUGGUGUAGUGUUUGUGCAUUUUAAAUAUGAACUUUGCCAUCAA